CUACGGGAUGCUGCAGUGAGGAAUAUUGCACAAUGGGGGGAACCCUGAUGCAGCAACGCCGCGUGGAGGAUGACGCAUUUCGGUGUGUAAACUCCUUUUAUAUGUCAAGAAAGUGACGGUAGCAUAUGAAUAAGCACCGGCUAACUCCGUGCCAGCAGCCGCGGUAAUACGGAGGGUGCAAGCGUUACUCGGAAUCACUGGGCGUAAAGGACGCGUAGGCGGGUGGAAAGUCAGGUGUGAAAUCCUACAGCUUAACUGUAGAACUGCACUUGAAACUUCUAAUCUAGAGUAUGGGAGGGGGAGGUGGAAUUAGGGGUGUAGGGGUAAAAUCCGUAGAUAUCACUAGGAAUACCUAAAGCGAAGGCGAUCUCCUGGAACAUUACUGACGCUAAGGCGUGAAAGCGUGGGGAGCAAACAGGAUUAGAUACCCCGGUAGUC
rnacentral:rRNA from 1 species